UACGGAGGGAGCUAGCGUUGUUCGGAAUUACUGGGCGUAAAGCGCACGUAGGCGGCUUUGCAAGUUAGAGGUGAAAGCCCGGGGCUCAACUCCGGAAUUGCCUUUAAAACUGCAUCGCUAGAGUUGUGGAGAGGUAAGUGGAACUGCGAGUGUAGAGGUGAAAUUCGUAGAUAUUCGCAAGAACACCAGUGGCGAAGGCGGCUUACUGGUCCGGUUCUGACGCUGAGGCGCGAAAGCGUGGGGAGCAAACAGG
rnacentral:rRNA from 1 species